rnacentral:tRNA from 1 species
CGGCCAGUGGCGUAGCGGUCUAAUGCAUCUCCUUAUCAAGGAUGAAGGUCAUGGGUUCAAAUCCCGUUUGGUGGU